AGAGUUUGAUCCUGGCUCAGAUUGAACGCUGGCGGCAUGCCUUACACAUGCAAGUCGAACGCGAAAGGGGGCAACCCUGAGUAGAGUGGCGAACGGGUGAGCAAUACAUCGGAACGUGUCCUGUAGCGGGGGACAACCUCGAGAAAUCGAGGCUAAUACCGCAUACGAUCUACGGAUGAAAGUGGGGGACCGCAAGGCCCCACACUAUAGGAGCGGCCGAUGCCGGAUUAGCUAGUUGGUGGGGUAAAAGCCUACCAAGGCGACGAUCCGUAGCUGGUUUGAGAGAACGACCAGCCACACUGGGACUGAGACACGGCCCAGACUCCUACGGGAGGCAGCAGUGGGGAAUUUUGGACAAUGGGCGCAAGCCUGAUCCAGCCAUGCCGCGUGAGUGAAGAAGGCCUUCGGGUUGUAAAGCUCUUUCGGCCGGGACGAAAUGGCGCGGGGUAACAUCCCGCGUCGAUGACGGUACCGGAAGAAGAAGGACCGGCUAACUACGUGCCAGCAGCCGCGGUAAUACGUAGGGUCCAAGCGUUAAUCGGAAUUACUGGGCGUAAAGCGUGUGCAGGCGGUUUCGAAAGUCCGAUGUGAAAUCCCCGGGCUUAACCUGGGAACUGCGUUGGAAACUACGAGGCUAGAGUGCGGCAGAGGGGGGUGGAAUUCCAGGUGUAGCAGUGAAAUGCGUAGAGAUCUGGAGGAACACCGAUGGCGAAGGCAGCCCCCUGGGUUAGCACUGACGCUCAUACACGAAAGCGUGGGGAGCAAACAGGAUUAGAUACCCUAGUAGUCC
rnacentral:rRNA from 1 species